rnacentral:lncRNA from 1 species
AGAAGAAAUUGGAAAAGACAUUUGGAAAUACAAAGAGAUUUUCGAGGAUCCUGAAAUCAGGGCACAGGUGCAGCUGCCAGCCCUGCCUCCUGUUCAUGCUGGCUCUUGAGUGUCCCUGGUUUGUACUUCCACUGUCUGCAUUAAACUUCUGGGGACCAUUAAGGCUGAUAUUUCUCCAAGGAGCUCCUCUUCCCUAACUUGGGUGGCUAAAUGGCACCUUUAUAUUUAGUUUGGUUUUUAUCCUCUCCUUCAUGGUCCUCUCCCCUACAAAUUAUAGAUGGAAGAUGUUUAAGGCCAGUGCUAUGAAGAAAUUAAUAAGUUCAAAUACAGUAUCUGAGGGGGAUUGGUUCCAGAACCUCCUGCAGAUACCCAAAUCCAGAAUAGUGCAGAAAGGUGUAUACUAAACAACAUUUGGAAGAAGAAAAACCUGGCAUCAUUCUGAGAAAGUAUUUUCUCUAACUCUGAGCAUGCAGUUAAUUCUAUGGAUAAACUGAAAGGAACAGGAUGGAUAUUGGACAGCUUCCCUGCUUUUCUAGAAUCAAAUGCAAAACUAUUGUUUUAAUUCAAAUCAAUUAUCAAACUGUGCCACAUUAUUCUUCUUAUUUUUAAUCCAACGUUUAAGGAGAACCUUCUGUGAGCAAGAUCAUUCUCUGGGCAUAAGGUAUAUUCAAAGAUAACUAAGAUAGUCUCUCUCUCUCUCUCAGAGAGCUCGUAAUGUGUACAGGAAAUAAAUUACAUUUGUUGGCAAAAA